rnacentral:rRNA from 1 species
CCAAUAGCGUAUAUUAAAGUUGUUGCAGUUAAAAAGCUCGUAGUUGAAUUUUAGGCCUGGCCGGGCGGUCCGUCUUUGGCGAGUACUGUUCUGUGUCGGGUCUUACCUUCUGGUAAACCGGCAUGUUCCUUUAUCGUGUAUGCCGGGGAACCAGGACCAUUACCUUGAAAAAAUUAGAGUGUUUAAAGCGGGCUUUUGCUUGAAUAGAUUAGCAUGGAAUAAUAAAAUAGGACGUUGGUUCUAUUUUGUUGGUCUAGGACCACCGUAAUGAUUAAUAGGGAUAGUUGGGGGCAUUAGUAUUCAAUUGUCAGAGGUGAAAUUCUUGGAUUUAUUGAAGACUAACUAUUGCGAAAGCAUUUGCCAAGGAUGUUUUCAUUAAUCAAGAACGAAAGUUAGGGGAUCGAAGACGAUCAGAUACCGUCGUAGUCUUAACCAUAAACUAUGCCGACUAGGAAUCGGGCGACGUUAUUUUCACGACUCGCUCGGCGCCUUAUG